rnacentral:misc_RNA from 1 species
AGGAGACCGCGAAACGUGUCUAAAAAUAAAAAGAUUACAUGCUAAACAAGUAAGUCGUGACAAAAAGAUACAAUAUUUUGGAUACAAAUUCUCAACCUACUAUAUAUACUCAGGCUCUAGAAGAAUUUGAACUCCGUAUGGUUGCAACCUUUUUUAAUAAGUUAUAGACAGCUAAUGAUCAUUAUCAAAGGAUUUUGAGGUGAAAUUGCCUCAAUCUUGAAAAGGACUUAGACUAUGAAAUUUCA